AAACCCUCCCUUUACCCUUUCCAUUCCACCGCUACUUUUACUUUCGAUUCACUUCCACCACCCAUUUUCCUUUCCUCGUCGCCGAUCGCAAUCGGGAAUCGUCCCGGAUAUGCACAAGAGCCGGCUCCAGGAGCUCUGCCAGCGCCAGCAAUGGUCGCUUCCGGAGUACGCCACCUCACAUGACGGCCCUGCCCACAAUUUCCGCUUUAGCGCUACCGUCACCGUCAACGGCUCCUCGUUCCACUCCCCCGAUCUCUCCCGGACAUCCAAGGAAGCUCAGAACAAGGCCGCGCUGAUCGCUUUCGAGCAGCUCUCUGACGUGGUCCCGCAGUCGCCGCCCGUGGACUUACCACCGCCUCCAACCCCUGCACCGGCCCUUCCUAUAGAUCUUGGCAAUCAAGUUUCAUACAAGAACCAACUUCAGAUAUAUCUUCAGAAGCAAGCUAAAUGUCUACCAACAUAUACCUAUGUUUGUCAUGCUCUUCAAUUCAAAGCUACUGUUAAAGUUGAUGAGCAAACUUUUGAGAGCACAUCAUAUUGUUAUACUGUUAAGGAAGCUGAACAUUCUGCUGCAAAAGUUGCUUUGAUGUCAUUGUUUGGUGAUCAGCAGGAUGAUGGCAUUAUGUACAAGAAUCUAUUGCAGGAAUUAGUACAAAAAGAAGGGUUGCCUAUGCCAGAGUAUAACACAACGAGAUAUGGUGAAAGUCAUGUUCCUACUUUCUCUGUCACUGUUGAAAUCAAAGGCAAAUUAUUUCAGGGAGAUGCAGCGAAAACCAAGAGACAGGCAGAAACGAAUGCUGCAAAGAUCGCAUAUUCUUAUCUUUACCAAAGUGGUCAAGCAGAUUUUCUUCCCAUUUAUCUUCAAUAUUGGAAGAGCAUAUGGAAUCUGAACCUGCUGCUUCAACAUUAGUGCCAAUAAUCAACACAAACUCUUCAAAGACAGGUUGUAUUGAAGAUGAACAUGACCAUGACCAUGUACAGAAGCAAGAACCUGGAAGUGAAAUUAAAAUUAGCGAAAUCCUGCAAGGUGGACCAUUUUACAUUCUCUAGUUGUUCAUCAUGUUUGUUUAUAGUUAGCUAAUUGAUUUGCAACUGAUCCUGGCCAUGUCAAGAAUCAAGAAUGUGCAAGUGCCAUUACAAUUAAAGAAAUUCUGCAAGAUGAGCAUGAUCCUAUGGAGAAGCAAGGGCAUACCAGUGCUAGUAAGAAUGGAAAAUAACCCCUUCAAGAUCUCCCUGAAUCUGGCAGCUCAGCAUCAUCCUACAGUCCUGACUGCUCCACUCGUCAUAACUUCACAAGCGCUCACAGUGAACUUCCCAUGCCGGGAAGCAGUCGCUCAAUGCUGUGCAAUAGGGUCCAAGUUUAUCCUCGCAAAGCUGACGUGGUUUUGCCUGAAGGUGGAAUCACUCUACCCUUCAGCGAUGAUAGCUGGGUUGCCGUCAGUUUGGACUUCUAAAAUCCAUCAAGGCAAUUGUUCUUUAGGCCGCAGACCUUGUCAUGUUAUAACAAUGCGAUAGUGCACAGACAGCUUCCUGGGUCAUUGCUACGUAUGCUCUUUCUUUCCAUAUCAGUAUGUGCAGAGACAGAUUCCUUGGUUCGUAGAAAGACAUCUUAUUACACAUGGUUUGUGGCUUGAAUUGAUUUUGAUGAGUAUUGUUUUCCUUUUUCUUUUAAUAUUAUCAUCUAUGCUUUUGUGCCCA